CAACUAGCAUAGCCAAAUUCCUAGCACCUGGGAAGCGGGGGAACCAGUUAUGGGUGAAUUGAUCUUGCAACAGAGGGAUCAUAGGGGACCUUCAACCGAAUCCUUAAGCUAACCUCGCAGGCAUUGGAAGGGGUAUAU
rfam:Paenibacillus sp. MAEPY2 contig5, whole genome shotgun sequence.